rnacentral:rRNA from 1 species
CGUAAAGACUAGUGUUAGUCAUCUUUUAUUAGGGUUUUAAAGGGUACCUAGACGGUAAAUUUAAACUCUAAAAUGAGUACUUUUUUACUAGAGUUUUUAUAAGAGAAGGAAGAAUUUCUGGAGUAGUGAUAAAAUACUCUUAUACCAGAAGGACUGGUAACAGCGAAGGCAUCCUUCUAUGUAGAAACUGACGUUGAGGGACGAAGGCUUGGGUAGCAAUAAGGAUU